rnacentral:misc_RNA from 1 species
GAUGAAGAACGUAGCGAAAUGCGAUAAGUAAUGCGAAUUGCAGAAUUCAGUGAGUCAUCGAAUCUUUGAACGCACAUUGCGCCCUGUGGUAUUCCGCAGGGCAUGCCUGUUCGAGCGUCAUUUCAACCCUCAAGCCCCGCUUGGUGUUGGGCCCCGCCCGCUGUGGCCGGCCCUAAAGACAGUGGCGGCGCCGCCUGGCCCUCAGCGUAGUACAUCUCUCGCUCCAGGGUCCGGUGGCCGCCUGCCAGAACCCCCCAACUCUGUGGUUGACCUCGGAUCAGGUAGGAAUACCCGCUGAACUUAAGCAUAUCAUAAGCGAGGA